AACGAACGCUGGCGGCAGGCCUAACACAUGCAAGUCGAGCGAAGCCUUCGGGCUUAGCGGCGGACGGGUGAGUAACGGGUGGGAACGUGCCCUUUGGUACGGAAUAGCCCCGGGAAACUGGGAGUAAUACCGUAUGUGGUCGAGAGGCGAAAGAUUUAUCGCCAAAGGAUCGGCCCGCGUUGGAUUAGGUAGUUGGUGGGGUAAUGGCCUAACAAGCCGACGAUCCAUAGCGGGUUUGAGAGGAUGAUCAGCCACACUGGGACUGAGACACGGCCCAGACUCCUACGAGAGGCAGCAGUGGGGAAUCUUAGACAAUGGGGGAAACCCUGAUCUAGCCAUGCCGCGUGAUCGAUGAAGGCCUUAGGGUUGUAAAGAUCUUUCAGUGGGGAAGAUAAUGACUGUACCCACAGAAGAAGCCCCGGCUAACGCCGUGCCAGCAGCCGCCGUAACAC
rnacentral:rRNA from 1 species